GAAAAAGUACUGCAAGAACUGCUAACUCAUGCUUCCAUGCCUAAUAGCAUGGCUUUUUCA
rnacentral:tRNA from 2 species